GAUGAACGCUAGCGGCAGGCUUAAUACAUGCAAGUCGAGGGGCAGCAUGAUUGUAGCAAUACAAUUGAUGGCGACCGGCAAACGGUUGCGGAACACGUACACAACCUCCCAAUAAGUGGGGAAUAGCCCAGAGAAAUUUGGAUUAAUACCCCGUAACAUAACGAUGUGGCAUCACAUUGUUAUUAUAGAUUUUUCGCUUAUUGAUGGGUGUGCGGCUGAUUAGAUAGUUGGCGGGGUAACGGCCCACCAAGUCUACGAUCAGUAGCUGAUGUGAGAGCAUGAUCAGCCACACGGGCACUGAGACACGGGCCCGACUCCUACGGGAGGCAGCAGUAAGGAAUAUUGGACAAUGGACGCAAGUCUGAUCCAGCCAUGCCGCGUGAAGGAUUAAGGUCCUCUGGAUUGUAAACUUCUUUUAUAAGGGACGAAAAAAGGCUUUUCUAAGUCGUCUGACGGUACCUUAUGAAUAAGCACCGGCUAACUCCGUGCCAGCAGCCGCAGUAA
rnacentral:rRNA from 1 species